rfam:Microgenomates (Gottesmanbacteria) bacterium GW2011_GWA2_47_9 TY16_C0040, whole genome shotgun sequence.
GCUCCCGUCGUUCAAUGGAUAGGACGCAAGCUUCCGAAGCUUGUAAUAGAGGUUCGACUCCUCUCGGGGGCA